rnacentral:rRNA from 1 species
GGAAUAUUGGUCAAUGGGCGAGAGCCUGAACCAGCCAAGUAGCGUGCAGGAAGACUGCCCUAUGGGUUGUAAACUGCUUUUAUCAGGGGAUAAAGUGACGUACGUGUACGUCAUUGCAGGUACCUGAUGAAUAAGGACCGGCUAAUUCCGUGCCAGCAGCCGCGGUAAUACGGAAGGUCCGGGCGUUAUCCGGAUUUAUUGGGUUUAAAGGGAGCGCAGGCUGAUUAUUAAGCGUGACGUGAAAUGUAGCCGCUCAACGGCUGAACUGCGUCGCGAACUGGUAGUCUUGAGUGAGUUCGAUGUUGGCGGAAUUCGUGGUGUAGCGGUGAAAUGCUUAGAUAUCACGAAGAACUCCGAUUGCGAAGGCAGCCAACAAGGCCUUUACUGACGCUAAAGCUCGAAGGUGCGGGUAUCGAACA